UUUGAUAAAUAGUGCUAGGGAGAAUUUUAUUCAACAAAUUCCAGGAUCAUUAAAAGGGCGCCUUAUAGAACUCUUAAAAACAUUUAGUCAAAGCAAUUCUUUGUUGGACGCUUGAAGUUUCAGCGGCAGUGCUAUGUUUUAUUGACUGCUGACGAGAUUAGUGUAAAUCUGUAAUUUUGAUAUCUUCAAAUUUCGAUGGCAUCCUUGCGGGAGCUUCUGGUUCAUUUGAGAAUCUUUUCUUCAUCAUUUUCUCUUCAUUCUUCGAGUUUUGAACAAUUGAGGGUGAAAAUUUUGCCAUCGGUUGAGACCAAGCACAGAAUUCUAUUCUAUUGUAAGAUAUCUCAUUUCUGAUGAUAUUAAUGAGCCUCAAUUAAGAGGGAAAUCUCUCCUUUCUUGUUUCUAAAAUUAUUGUUGCGUGUAGGUUCUUAAUGAAUUUAUGCCUUGAGUUAAUAUGAAUACAUAAUUGGCAUUUUUUCA